rnacentral:rRNA from 1 species
CCUACGGGAGGCUGCAGUGAGGAAUAUUGGUCAAUGGCCGAGAGGCUGAACCAGCCAAGUCGCGUGAGGGAAGACGGCCCUACGGGUUGUAAACCUCUUUUGUCGGGGAGCAAAGCGAACCACGUGUGGUUCAUUGAGAGUACCCGAAGAAAAAGCAUCGGCUAACUCCGUGCCAGCAGCCGCGGUAAUACGUAGGGGGCAAGCGUUAUCCGGAUUUACUGGGUGUAAAGGGAGCGUAGACGGCAGAGCAAGUCUGAAGUGAAAGCCCGCGGCCCAACUGCGGGACUGCUUUGGAAACUGCCCGGCUAGAGUGCUGGAGAGGUAAGCGGAAUUCCUAGUGUAGCGGUGAAAUGCGUAGAUAUUAGGAGGAACACCAGUGGCGAAGGCGGCUUACUGGACAGUAACUGACGCUGAUGCGCGAAAGCGUGGGGAGCAAACAGGAUUAGAUACCCCAGUAGUC